UGUUUUUGUAUGAAUGGCUUUAAUUUUGUUUGUCUAUCAUAAUAUAAUAAUAAAUAAUAUAUCUUUUUUUGUAUUAAUUUUAUCAUUUGUUUGUGCCAAUAUUUAGUCUUUUAUUAACUGUUAACUUUCUCACUUUCACGACUUGGUGUGGCUUAUCUGAAUCUCACACGCGACUGUUUACCCUCUUCAUCUUUCAUCUUGUUGCGUUGCUGCUUCAAAAUUCAGGUCCAUCUUCACCUUUAAUCUGGCUGUUUAUUUUUAUUUGUAAACCUGAUUCCCAAAGACAUCAAGAAAGAAAAGGAAAUCUUUUAGUGAAAAGAAUGGAUUCCAUUAUCAGUUGUCGUUCUGUAUCUUCCUGAGGUCACAAAACCGUCAUCAUUAUCAUCAUCAUCUUCGUCUAUCAUUUCAUUGUCUAACUUUUUACGUGAUCAAGAUUGAGAUUAGCGUUUUGGUGUGUUUAUCACAACAUUCAAGGGAAAACUAUUUUAAGCCUCUUCUUUCUCAUAGGAAUGAUAGAUGAUGGUUUAAAGAGUGUUGACCGAGAAUUCAGUACGAAGUGCUAAUUAAUAAUGAAAGUUAUUAAACAUUAAGCGCGAAAGUAAAUAAAUUUGUCGUUUCCAGAAAA